rnacentral:rRNA from 1 species
CCUACGGGAGGCAGCAGUGAGGAAUAUUGGUCAAUGGGCUUACGCCUGAACCAGCCAAGUCGCGUGAGGGAAGACUGCCCUCUGGGUUGUAAACCUCUUUUGUCAGGGAGCAAUUGGCUCUACGUGUAGCGUUAUCGAGAGUACCUGAAGAAAGAGCAUGGGCAAACUCCGUGCCAGCAGCCGCGGUAAUACGGAGGAUGCGAGCGUGAUCCGGAGUGAUUGGGUUUAAGGGGUGCGUAGGCGGAAUGCCAAGUCAGCGGUAAAAUCGCGGGGCUCAACCUCGCUCCGCCGUUGAAACUGGCGUUCUUGAGUGGGCGAGAAGUAGGCGGAAUGCGUGGUGUAGCGGUGAAAUGCGUAGAUAUGACGCAGAACUCCGAUUGCGAAGGCAGCAUACCGG